rnacentral:rRNA from 1 species
UACGUAGGGGGCAAGCGUUGUCCGGAUUCAUUGGGCGUAAAGCGCUCGUAGGCGGUUUGUCGCGUCUGCUGUGAAAACUCGGGGCUUAACCCCGGGCCUGCAGUGGGUACGGGCAGACUAGAGUGCGGUAGGGGAGACUGGAAUUCCUGGUGUAGCGGUGAAAUGCGCAGAUAUCAGGAGGAACACCGGUGGCGAAGGCGGGUCUCUGGGCCGUAACUGACGCUGAGGAGCGAAAGCGUGGGGAGCGAACAGA